rnacentral:lncRNA from 1 species
AUGAUCUCAAAAAGUUUAGCGAUUCUCAAGUCUUGUAAAGUUUCGGUUUACCAGAUUUUUGAUAGCAUGAUGACGGGGUUGAUGCUAAUGGUGAUUUAGUACUUUUAGGGCUAAGAUAGCUCAUUGAAUCACCGAGAUAAUCAAGAAGUGCACGUAAAAACUGUAGAGGUACAGCCUGCAGAAAGCAACUUCGGUGUUGUAUUAAAAAUGAUAAAUUUAAUUAUUUAUAAUUCACAAGAAUCAACCUGUAUCCAUUCCUUGAUAGACUCCAAAACAGAU